AGCUCCUUUCAGAUAGAGACAAGGGAUAUUUGACUUCUUAUCUCUGUUGUCCAGCACAAUGUCCAGAACACAACAGAUAUUCCAUAUGCACAGUCACAUGCUAUGUAUGUGUAUUUUCUUUCCAGAAAGGACUAGAGGUCCUAAGCUUUGUUAAUAUCAUGAGCCAGUGCCCACAUGAGCAGGAGAAUUUUAGCACAGUCACCUACACACUCAUUUCGAUGCUCUGACCCCUUAUCCAAGCCAGUCAAAGUGUGGUCUAUGGUUUUGCAUUUUAAAGAGAUCCCUGGGUGAAUCUUGUGCAUGUUACAGGGAAGCACUGUCCUACAUCCUAUGUGACAGGCUCUCAUAGUCACCAUCAUCAUGGGAAUCUUGCACAUGUUACAGGGAAGCACUGUCCUACAUCAUAUGUGACAGGCUCUCAUAGUCACCAUCAUCACGGGAAUCUUGCACAUGUUACAGGGAAGCACUGUCCUACAUCGUAUGUGACAGGCUCUCAUAAUCACCAUCAUCAUGUGAUCUUGUGCAUGUUACAGGGAAGCACUGUUCUACAUCGUAUCUGACAGGCUCUCAUAGUCACCGUCAUCACGGGAAUCUUGUGCAUGUUACAGGGAAGCACUGUCCUACAUCGUAGGUGACAGGGUCUCAGAGUCACCAUCAUCACGGGAAUCUUGUGCAUGUUACAGGGAAGCACAGUCCUACAUCGUAUCUGACAGGCUCUCAUAGUCACCGUCAUCACGGGAAUCUUGCACAUGUUACAGGGAAGCACCGUCCUACAUCAUAUGUGACAGGCUCUCAUAGUCACCAUCAUCACGGGAAGCUGCAUUUAGAGCAUUUAACUGUAUGGGCUCUGAAAUCAGAUGACUUAGGUUUGGGCUUGCCUCUACUUCUUACUAAGCAGAGAACUUUGGGGCAUGAUACUUAAUUUUACUAGGCUCAGUUUUAUCAUGUGUAAAUUGGAGGCAAGGGGAAAUUAUAGCAUUUUGCAUAGAAUAUUGUUUUAAGUAUGAA
rnacentral:lncRNA from 10 species